CGGGAUGUAGUACAACGGCAGUAUACACGAUUCGGGUUCGUGAGAUCCGGGUUCAAUUCCCGGCAUCCCGA
rfam:Candidatus Zambryskibacteria bacterium RIFCSPLOWO2_01_FTLL_45_21 rifcsplowo2_01_scaffold_13217, whole genome shotgun sequence.